rnacentral:misc_RNA from 1 species
GAUGAAGAACGUAGCAAAUGCGAUAAGUAAUGUGAAUUGCAGAAUUCAGUGAAUCAUCGAAUCUUUGAACGCACAUUGCGCCCGCCAGUAUUCUGGCGGGCAUGCCUGUUCGAGCGUCAUUUCAACCAUCAAGCCCCAGGCUUGUGUUGGGGACCUGCGGCUGCCGCAGGCCCUGAAAACCAGUGGCGGGCUCGCUGUCACACCGGGCGUAGUAGAUUUUAUCUCGCUCUGGGCGUGCUGCGGGUUCCGGCCGUUAAAAAACCCUUUUAACCCAAGGUUGACCUCGGAUCAGGUAGGAAUACCCGCUGAACUUAAGCAUAUCAAUAAGCGGAGGA